AUUGAACGCUGGCGGCAGGCUUAACACAUGCAGGUCGAGCGGGGUGAUGGUGCUUGCACUAUCACUUAGCGGCGGACGGGUGAGUAAUGCUUAGGAAUCUGCCUAUUAGUGGGGGACAGCAUCUCGAAAGGGAUGCUAAUACCGCAUCCGUCCUUCGGGAGCAAGCGGAGGAUCACUUGUGACCUUGCCCUAAUAGAUGAGCCUAAGUCGGACUAGCUAGGUGGUGGGGUAAAGGCCUACCAAGGCGACGAUCUGUAGCGGGUCUGAGGGGAUGAUCCGCCACACUGGGACUGAGACACGGCCCAGACUCCUACGGGAGGCAGCAGUGGGGAAUAUUGGACAAUGGGGGGAACCCUGAUCCAGCCAUGCCGCGUGUGUGAAGAAGGCCUUAUGGUUGUAAAGCACUUUAAGCGAGGAGGAGGCUCUUUUGGUUAAUACCCAAGAUGAGUGGACGUUACUCGCAGAAUAAGCACCGGCUAACUCUGUGCCAGCCGCCGCUGUAACAC
rnacentral:rRNA from 1 species